GUCCCCAUAGCUUAACGGAUAAAGCGUAGCCCUCCGAAGGCUGAGAUCGAGGUUCAAUUCCUCGCGGGGACA
rfam:Parcubacteria (Giovannonibacteria) bacterium GW2011_GWA2_44_13b TW30_C0026, whole genome shotgun sequence.